rnacentral:lncRNA from 1 species
UAAAAAUAAUGCACUGGCAUUUCAGAUUUCAAAUCAUGGUCAUUGUCAAUACAAUUUCUUUGAAAAUAAAUAAAGAAUUUGGAAUGAUGAUGACAUUAACAAAAAUAGUUAGGUCACAUAUUGAAUAGCUUUAAUACCUCCCUUGAUCCUCGUAUUUGUGUGAAAAUCUCAGUUCGGUCUUCAAGUUUUGAACUGUCUCAAUUGGGUCAUAAAUUUUGUAAAAAUGCAUACAUUUUACCCUAACCGUUAACUGAUCUCAAACGGCAUUAAGUUUAGCUGACAUGGUAUGUUGACGUGUUGGCUUAAUCCCUUCUUGGUUCUCAUAUUUGUGUGAAAAUCUCAGUUCGGUCCUCAAGUUUUGAACUGUCAUAAUUUUUGUAAAAUUGUGCACAUUUUACCCCAAUCGUUAACUGAUCCCAAACGGCGUUAAGUUUAGCUGACGUGGUAACCAGAGGACAUGCUGAUGUGUAUUAUUUAAUUAUAUGAAUUAUUUUUUAAAAUAAGUCGUGUUUCACGUGGCACAAUGCCUAUUAUUUAGUUUAUUUGAAUUAGGAAUUUUAUUCAUCUCUCUGAGAAUCAGGGAUUUUACACAGAUUAUUUCAUCGGCUCAAAAAAUAAAGUCACCGGAAAACUCGCAUAACCAGUGCAAUCAGUCUCACAACCUUUUCUACAAAUGAACCAACUUGGUAACCUAUAGGUUCAUCACCAGCCUUAAGCUAUUUAUUCCACUAAUAGUAGAAGAUAAUUGUUGCACAGUGAGAUCAGUUAGCGAUUGGGGUAAAAUGUGUGUAUUUUUACAAAAAUUAUGAUCCACUUGAGACAGUUCAAAACUUGAGGACUGAAUUAAGAUUUUCACACAAAUACGAGGACCAAGGGAUUAAGCCAACACGUCAGCAUACCACGUUAGCUAAACUUAACGCCCUUUGAUAUCAGUUAACGGUUGGAGUAAAAUGUGUGCAUUUUUACAAAAAUUAUGACCCAAUUGAGACAGUUCAAAACUUGAGGACCGAACUGAUAUUUUCACACAAAUGUGAACACCAAGAAAGGUAUUAAG